GCCGGAAUAGCUCAGUUGGGAGAGCGUUAGACUGAAGUUGUUUACAGUCAUCUAAAGGCCCCCGGUUCAAUCCUGGGUUCCGACA
rnacentral:tRNA from 1 species